AACUUUUCUCAAGGUUGACCUCGGAUCAGGUAGGGAUA
rnacentral:rRNA from 1 species